rnacentral:rRNA from 1 species
CUACGUGCCAGCAGCCGCGGUAAUACGUAGGUCCCGAGCGUUGUCCGGAUUUAUUGGGCGUAAAGCGAGCGCAGGCGGUUAGAUAAGUCUGAAGUUAAAGGCUGUGGCUUAACCAUAGUACGCUUUGGAAACUGUUUAACUCGAGUGCAGAAGGGGAGAGUGGAAUUCCAUGUGUAGCGGUGAAAUGCGUAGAUAUAUGGAGGAACACCGGUGGCGAAAGCGGCUCUCUGGUCUGUAACUGACGCUGAGGCUCGAAAGCGUGGGGAGCGAACAGGAUUAGAUACCCUGGUAGUCCACGCCGUAAACGAUGAGUGCUAGGUGUUGGGUCCUUUCCGGGACUCAGUGCCGCAGCUAACGCAUUAAGCACUCCGCCUGGGGAGUACGACCGCAAGGUUGAAACUCAAAGGAAUUGACGGGGGCCCGCACAAGCGGUGGAGCAUGUGGUUUAAUUCGAAGCAACGCGAAGAACCUUACCAGGUCUUGACAUCCCGGUGCCCGUCCUAGAGAUAGAGUUUUC